rnacentral:rRNA from 1 species
AGACCCGAAACCCGGUGAUCUAGCCAUGGGCAGGUUGAAGGUUGGGUAACACUAACUGGAGGACCGAACCGACUAAUGUUGAAAAAUUAGCGGAUGACCUGUGGCUGGGGGUGAAAGGCCAAUCAAACCGGGAGAUAGCUGGUUCUCCCCGAAAGCUAUUUAGGUAGCGCCUCGUGAAUUCAUCUCCGGGGGUAGAGCACUGUUUCGGCUAGGGGGCCAUCCCGGCUUACCAACCCGAUGCAAACUGCGAAUACCGGAGAAUGUUAUCACGGGAGACACACGGCGGGUGCUAACGUCCGUCGUGAAGAGGGAAACAACCCAGACCGCCAGCUAAGGUCCCAAAGUCAUGGUUAAGUGGGAAACGAUGUGGGAAGGCCCAGACAGCCAGGAUGUUGGCUUAGAAGCAGCCAUCAUUUAAAGAAAGCGUAAUAGCUCACUGGUCGAGUCGGCCUGCGCGGAAGAUGUAACGGGGCUAAACCAUGCACCGAAGCUGCGGCAGCGAACGUAUCACCCAAGACAACUUUACGGAGUUGACGAUUGACGGAGCGAAGCGACGUCAAAGCGUU